rnacentral:rRNA from 1 species
GUGCAAUGGCAUAAGCCAGCUUGACUGCGAGCGUGACGGCGCGAGCAGGUGCGAAAGCAGGUCAUAGUGAUCCGGUGGUUCUGAAUGGAAGGGCCAUCGCUCAACGGAUAAAAGGUACUCCGGGGAUAACAGGCUGAUACCGCCCAAGAGUUCAUAUCGACGGCGGUGUUUGGCACCUCGAUGUCGGCUCAUCACAUCCUGGGGCUGAAGUAGGUCCCAAGGGUAUGGCUGUUCGCCAUUUAAAGUGGUACGCGAGCUGGGUUUAGAACGUCGUGAGACAGUUCGGUCCCUAUCUGCCGUGGGCGCUGGAGAACUGAGGGGGGCUGCUCCUAGUACGAGAGGACCGGAGUGGACGCAUCACUGGUGUUCGGGUUGUCAUGCCAAUGGCACUGCCCGGUAGCUAAAUGCGGAAGAGAUAAGUGCUGAAAGCAUCUAAGCACGAAACUUGCCCCGAGA